rnacentral:lncRNA from 1 species
CGGGGCAGGGAGCGGAACGCUGAGCGAGAGGGGAAGGGGAGCCCUGGUAAGUAGGAGGCGAUACCUCCCCAGCCCGGGAGCAGCACCCUGGGCCUUGCAAAAGCAAAAACUUGGGAAAGCAGAGAGCAGUCUUUGCUUCGGCGAUCACACUGCUCCAUGCAGUCCCCGAGGGUGAGAGAGGGCCUUUCGGCUUUCAGCCCUCGGACUGAAUACUCAUCAGUCGUGGAGAGAACAGGGACCGGGCUGAAAUCCACCGCCUGGAUGCUGGCAUAUCCUGUGAUCUCUCUAUACAUGCCAGAAAAGAGACUGAACGGACGGCGUCCCCGUUGUGGCAGGAACAUGACAAGGCUGGCAGAAGCUAUUGCAACAUUACAAAUCUUCCAGAAUGCCUGUGGAGAUACUCUUGGACCAGCCAACAUGCUGGAGGUCCAUUAAUAGCUGUAUCACAUGAGCCAUACUCCCAGAUGUGAGACAUGAAAAGAGACCCUGGGCAAGUGCCCUUCCUACUGUGCUAAAUGCUGAUAACCUUUUGGAGCUGUGCAGUGUGAGAAUCACACAUGGGGAAGGAGGCUGGGGUAUGAGAGUGAACUUUGGUUCAUGGUUCUUUGGCUUCUGCUGUCAUAGCAACUGGAUACAAAACUGUCAGUCUCAUAGUAAAAGAUUAAAAUUUGCCUACCCGAAGAAGCGGAGUGGUGGGCGUUGUUCUGUUUCAAGAGUGAGUGUUGAUAUGUGUAGUUUGGACUGGCUUUGAAGCCAUCAACUGUACAUUGAAAUAAUAUUUUGGUAUUUUAUCUUCGUUUGCAGAAAUAUCAAUUAGGCUGUGUCAUGACUGCACUCUUGCACAUACAUUUAUACCUUUCAGUUACUACAGUGGGAUUCUUCUCAAUAGCUACCAAAAUUUCAGGAUCCAGCCUCAGCUUGUCAUACCCUACCUCUGUGGUGCACAGGUACUUAGCACUCCAAACCAUCUCUUUCUAGGGAAACUGACAUAAAUUGCCUUUUGCAGGUGCUUUAUUUUCUUUGUUAACUCCACUGAGAGGCAGUACAGAUGCCUACCUUUCACUAGAGGACUGUCUUCCAGAUGACUGAAGUCAGGUGAAGUAAAACCCAUUUGAAUGUGACAAAGGUACAUGUAAACACUGAAUGAGAACAGGCAGCCAGAGACAGCAAACCAACACGUACUCAGUAUCUCAGUAACAAAUAGUAAUUGAACAUGAACCUUUUUAAUCUGAAAGUAAGAAUCUGACAUCAGUUCCUGGCUGAAUUCUUACCUGGCUUUUUGCUUCUUUUUUUUUUUUUUUUUAAGAAUAGCAUAGUAAAUAUAACUUUUUGAGGAUGCUUUGUUACCAUGUACUAUUAUCUUUUUAUUAUGCCUGGCCAGAGUAAUCAAAUUAGGACACUUAAUACUAAUGCUUUGUGUAAUCAUAGAUAUCCU